CUACGGAGGAUGCAAGCGUUAUCCGGAUUUAUUGGGUUUAAAGGGUGCGUAGGCGGAUGAUUAAGCGUGAGGUGAAAUGCCACUGCUCAACAGUGGAACUGCCUCGCGAACUGGUUGUCUUGAAUGCUCCUGCCGUGGGAGGAAUGUGUGGUGUAGCGGUGAAAUGCAUAGAGAUUACACAGAACACCGAUUGCGAAGGCAUCUCACGAAGGGUUGAUUGACGCUGAGGCACGAAAGCGUGGGGAUCAAACAGGAUUAGAUACCCUGGUAGUCCACGCAGUAAACGAUGAUGGCUAACCGCUGGUUUAUUCGGAUCAGUGGCCAAGCGAAAGCGAUAAGCCAUCCACCUGGGGAGUACGACCGCAAGGUUGAAACUCAAAUGAAUUGACGGGG
rnacentral:rRNA from 1 species